CCUCCAUUUAGAACUGUUUUUGUUUAAAGCAAAAGCAUUCAUGACGCAGACGUACAGCAGUCUGUGGAGGAGUAUUCACACUCUGCUGCUCAAACCCAGCUGUAGGAAGACUCGCUCACUUUCCCCACCUUUCCCUGCAGCAUGCUUACUUCGGCACAGCCCCCCCAGCAGCACUCCCCUGUCCCUACCCACCUGGCACGGUGCUCACCUGCCUCACAGCACCAGUGGAACCAAUUUAUGCAAGGGAGCUUCCCUCUGCAGAAGGGAGAAGAGUGGUUUGAGAAAGCAGCUGUCCAGUUACAGACCCAGCUACAACGGGGUCCAGACAAGGACAUGGAACUGGAGUGCGGAAAGGCAAGCUUGUUGCUGAGGCGGUUGCAUGUUGCGUUUAUGAAGUCACUGAAGUCGUGGUUGGACGUGACAGGAAGUAGCAUGAACUAUUUGAUCAAAGCAACUAAAAUGCAAGAGGAAAUAACGGACUGCCACAUCAGACGGGAGGUAUCUGAUGGAAACCGCUUGUAACAAAUUAAAACACCUUUGGUCUCUGAAAAGUGAGUAGCAGGCAAUGCCCUAAAUAAGAUUCACUAUUCAUCAGUCCUUGUAUUCACAACAUGUUUCAGGCAUUUAUUUUUCCGGUUGAAGAGACUCUCUUCAUUCCUUCUCAAAUCAAGGAGUUAGCACGAGCUGUGAAUCCUUAAGGAAUGUGGUAUCUGAUGCUAGAUUUAUUUUGCUCUGUUUAAAAUUCAAAUGGAUCACUUUUGAAGUAAAAUCAGCUACAACAGUGAUGUCUUUUGUUUCGAUUAAUUUGCUCAAUUUGAAAUGCUGGAGCUGGAUUUGACUUCACACUAUCAGUGUAAGUAGGAAAUCAGACACCCAAACAAGGAUGCAGAGUCUUUUGCUUUUUGUUGGAGGGGAGACUAUUACACAAAAUGUAUGUUUUUAUCCAGAUAGUAGGAUACAGCUGAUGCAAAUCCUAUGGAGCCCUUGCUAAACUCUGUUCUGAGAGCUGACAGGACCUUACCGCAUCCAGCAUCCCACAGAGCUCAGCUCUUCAAACAGAGAAGUCACCGACAAGUACAUUUUUGCAAACAAUUGUGUUCCAACUGCACAGACCCUUAUCAGUUCUUCCUCAGAGAAAAGCAGCCAUGUCCACCAGACUCUGCUUACGUGGCCAAUUUUCACACUUAGCUACACGCAUUUUCCUCAGGAAAUACAUGAUUAAGGACAUGCAAAUCAAUAUUUCUGUAUUCUAAAUUUGUUUUUCUACGAAGAACAGACAAUUGUUACCAAUUGCACAACUGCAGCUCAUCUGUGAAUUACUCCAACCCCAAACAGUUUCUCAGUUUAAAUUUUGUCUCCCUGUAAUAGCUGCCUUAUCUUUAUUUCGUAUAGCAGUGCUUUUUGUAUAACUAAGCAAAUAAAAAUAAAUAACAGAACCCCA
rnacentral:lncRNA from 1 species